GAAAUUGUCCCAAAAAUAAGCUCCAUUUUUAAUACGUUUAAAUUUUUGAUUUGAUUUGUUUGUUGAAGAAGAAGCUUCUGAAACAAGGUUGGUACUUCAUUUAAACCUCUCCUGAAACACGAACGAGCAACAUCUGCUCAAUAACAUUGUUUCUCAAGUGAUUUUCCUCUUUUAACCUAACAAUUCUUUCUCUUUUUUUCCCACCGUUGUUCUCAUGUAGUUUUCUCUUUCAUAGCUCCAGUCUGGAACCCGAUAAGCGGCAUGAACAGAAAGAGGAACGAGUGAGGAAACCACUUCGCUCUUUCUGGAGACCCUGAGCUUCGGUCACAGUGUUAUAUGAACCUUGUGAUAUAGGCUUCAGUGUCCUUUAUGUGCGCUUCUCGCGGGAAGGCCCCAGAACAGAGGAGCAUUGUGGGACAGGAGGCAGUCAGGGCAGACGAUUUACAUGUUGGCCGGUGGACGAGGAAUGUUGGCGAGAGCCGAGAAAACCAGUUUUGCACAUCGACCCACAACAAUGACAUUGGAUUAAAAAUGGCAUUUGCAGAAUCCGAGGUGUGUUGAAACCACGCGAGCUGCCAAGCUUCUGAAUUAAUGAUGUACUUCAUUACUAAAAUAUAUUUGUGUGUUAUUCUAACUGAAUGCUUGUACGUUCACUCUAUUACAUGUUGAUGGAAAUAACGUGUUUUGAAUGCCAUUUACACUUCAGGAUAAACACUUUUUUACGCUUCCACACGCUUCCACUUUUGCCGGCAGUGAAAUCCAUCCGAGUGUAAAAUGCGAUGAUCGUUUGUCUUUGUUAAAGUCUCAUUCUUCACUCAACGCAGUCUUUGACGGCA
rnacentral:lncRNA from 1 species